AUACUAUUAUAUAUAUAAGGGAGCCUAACAACUAGCUCGUGAUUUCUUUCCUUUCCAUGUGACUUAUAACAGAAUUAUAAACUCUAUAAAACGCGUCGUUUUGGACUUAA